UACGGAGGGUGCAAGCGUUAUCCGGAUUCACUGGGUUUAAAGGGUGCGUAGGCGGGCAGGUAAGUCCGUGGUGAAAUCUCUGAGCUUAACUCAGAAACUGCCAUGGAUACUAUUUGUCUUGAAUAUUGUGGAGGUAAGCGGAAUAUGUCAUGUAACGGUGAAAUGCUUAGAUAUGACAUAGAACACCAAUGCGAAGGCAGCUUACUACACAGUUAUUGACGCUGAGGCACGAAAGCGUGGGGGAGCAAACAGGG
rnacentral:rRNA from 1 species